rnacentral:rRNA from 1 species
GACGAACGCUGGCGGCGUGCUUAACACAUGCAAGUCGAACGGUGAAGGGACCGGUUUUUGCUGGUUCUGGAUGAGUGGCGAACGGGUGAGUAACACGUGAGUAACCUGCCCCCUUCUUCUGGAUAACCGCAUGAAAGUGUGGCUAAUACGGGAUAUUCUGCGCCUGCUGCAUGGUGGGUGUGGGAAAGAUAUUGUUUCGGUGGGGGAUGGGCUCGCGGCCUAUCAGCUUGUUGGUGGGGUGAUGGCCUACCAAGGCGGUGACGGGUAGCCGGCCUGAGAGGGUGGACGGUCACACUGGGACUGAGACACGGCCCAGACUCCUACGGGAGGCAGCAGGGGGGAAUAUUGCACAAUGGGCGCAAGCCUGAUGCAGCGACGCCGCGGGAGGGAUGGAGGCCUUCGGGUUGUAAACCUCUUUCGCCAGUGAAGCAGGCCUGUCCCUUUUGUGGGUGGGUUGACGGUAGCUGGAUAAGAAGCGCCGGCUAACUACGUG